rnacentral:rRNA from 1 species
GACGAACGCUGGCGGCGCGCCUAACACAUGCAAGUCGAACGGGGCCUUUUGGAGUGCUUGCACUCUGGCUGGCCUAGUGGCGGACGGGUGAGUAACACGUGAGCAACCUGCCUUAAAGAGGGGGAUAACGUCUGGAAACGGACGCUAAUACCGCAUAAUAUACCUGAAUGGCAUCAUUUGGGUAUCAAAGGAGCAAUCCGCUUUAAGAUGGGCUCGCGCCCGAUUAGAUAGUUGGCGGGGUAACGGCCCACCAAGUCGACGAUCGGUAGCCGGACUGAGAGGUUGAUCGGCCACAUUGGGACUGAGACACGGCCCAGACUCCUACGGGAGGCAGCAGUGGGGGAUAUUGCACAAUGGGGGAAACCCUGAUGCAGCGACGCCGCGUGAGGGAAGAAGGUUUUCGGAUUGUAAACCUCUGUCCUCUGUGAAGAUAAUGACGGUAGCAGAGGAGGAAGCUCCGGCUAACUACGUGCCAGCCGCCGCGGUAAUAC